rnacentral:rRNA from 1 species
AUUGAACGCUGGCGGCAUGCCUUACACAUGCAAGCCGAACGGCAGCACGGGAGCAAUCCUGGUGGCGAGUGGCGAACGGGUGAGUAAUACAUCGGAACGUGCCCAGUAGUGGGGGAUAGCCCGGCGAAAGCCGGAUUAAUACCGCAUACGACCGGAGGGUGAAAGCGGGGGAUCGCAAGACAUCGCGCUAUUGGAGCGGCCGAUGUCGGAUUAGCUAGUUGGUGGGGUAAAGGCUCACCAAGGCAACGAUCCGUAGCUGGUCUGAGAGGACGACCAGCCACACUGGGACUGAGACACGGCCCAGACUCCUACGGGAGGCAGCAGUGGGGAAUUUUGGACAAUGGGCGCAAGCCUGAUCCAGCCAUGCCGCGUGCGGGAAGAAGGCCUUCGGGUUGUAAACCGCUUUUGUCAGGGAAGAAACGCUCUGGGCUAAUACCCCGGGGUAAUGACGGUACCUGAAGAAUAAGCACCGGCUAACUACGUGCCAGCCGCCGCGGUAACAC